UUUCCCUCAUCAAUGUAAGACUACCCGCUGAACUUAAGCAUAUCAAUAAGCGGAGGAAAAGAAACCAACAGGGAUUGCCUCAGUAACGGCGAGUGAAGCGGC
rnacentral:rRNA from 1 species